CCCAGCUUCCUGGGUCAGCACACACACAAACUUUGUGAGGCCAGUCCACCACAAGAGGUCCAAACCUACGAAAGCUGGCAGUGAUCUCAUCUACAAAAAACAAAUGAGGCACCUUAGAGAAAGUCUGAAGACCGACAGUGGCAAGUACCUUCAUCAAUGUCAGGAGGAAGACCUCCAACAAACACCUUUCUAGAAUAGCGUUCCACUCUUUCACCAUUCUGACAGCGUGUUGGAGAGCUGAGACCCGAUGAUAAAGACUGAUCACCGUGACUGUCGUCUAGGAAGCCAUCUUCAAAAGGAAAGAGUGAAGACCGACCUGUAACAGAUUUUGUAGUAUCUAUAGUUAAAGCUAUUUCCUGGACAAUUAAAUAUUUCAGUAAAAACUUAGUUUCC
rnacentral:lncRNA from 1 species